CUCUGCCUUUCAGGGAGCCACACCUCAAACAGAGGCAAUCAGUGUCUAUGGCCAAGAGGAGAGCCACAAGAAAAUUACAGAUAGAGAAGCUGAGGUACGGAGAGAUGAAGUUUCACAAGUCCAUGGUAGACCCGAGUACAGAAACCUAGUAUUCUGAUACCAGUCCAGAAUGCAAAUAUCAGAUGUAACAAAAGCGAUGCAGAAUGUUUGAAAUCACACUGCAGGGCCAGCAUGCUGCUUUCCUGGACAGCGAUAGGACAGGACAGCCAAGCAGUUACACUAACCUGAGCAUAAGAAACAAUGUGGUAUCGAACGAGCUCCAGACGUUUCCAUGCACCCUGCACAAAUGAACAAAGGACUUUCUUUAACCCAAUGCAGAUAGCACAAAUCUGAUCUGCUUUAACACAGCACCGAUAAAAUAAGGAUAUUUUUAUCAUUUACCUGAGUCUUGAAAAUGUCUGUAUUAUCGGUGACACUCCCCUGAAAUCCAAACAGUGCUCUCCUCAUUGCAUCUAGUCUGUCCUAGAGGUUACUCUCAUUUGGUCUCUGUCCUUGUGCUUUCACCCACAUUUCCUUUUGGGGGUGACCUUUUAUUUGCUGUGCAUUUCCCGCUAGAUGUUCCCUAGGAUCAGUGCACAGAGGAAACCAUCCUCCCUCCACCUCCACAUUAAUCUUCCCUUUCCAUCCAGAUGAAGUGGGAAGUCUUGGGGAGGUGCUAGUGAGGGACAUGUAUCGUCUCCCAGCUCCAGCAGCAGUAAAUCUACCCAAAACAUAAUGAAGCCUGAAGCUGCAUUAACUCCUAUUCAGUGUCUCCUCUGUGCUGUGAAACCUCCCUUUAAAGAGUCUCUGGGGUCAGCUCUCAGGGAAAGCCUUGUCACUAUGGUUUCAAUGGAGCCAUGCUACCAGGAAAUCAGAAUGGGAGCAAGGGGCUGUAGCCGGUGGGGGUUCACAAUGUUUCUCUGUAUGGGACAGAAAAUCUGCACCUCAACCCUUGGAUGGAAGAAUUCAGCAGAUCAUACUUUGUUUUCACAUUUGCGAGGAGAUGGGCUGAUCCAGCCUUUUCUAUCAGGAACUUGUAGGACAGUGAAUUUUCCAGCCUUCGCUUUGGGAGCAAGUAGAAGGGGAGAGGAUGGAUUAAGGGGGUGAGGACAUUUUUGCCUAAACAUGAAGAUAUUAGCAAAAACCAC